rnacentral:rRNA from 1 species
CCUACGGGUCGCUGCAGUGGGGAAUAUUGGACAAUGGGCGAAAGCCUGAUCCAGCCAUGCCGCGUGUGUGAAGAAGGCCUUCGGGUUGUAAAGCACUUUCAGUGGGGAAGAAAGCCUUGGGGCUAAUACCCUCGAGGAAGGACAUCACCCACAGAAGAAGCACCGGCUAACUCCGUGCCAGCAGCCGCGGUAAUACGGAGGGUGCGAGCGUUAAUCGGAAUUACUGGGCGUAAAGCGCGCGUAGGCGGUCUGAUAAGCCGGUUGUGAAAGCCCCGGGCUCAACCUGGGAACGGCAUCCGGAACUGUCAGGCUAGAGUGCAGGAGAGGAAGGUAGAAUUCCCGGUGUAGCGGUGAAAUGCGUAGAGAUCGGGAGGAAUACCAGUGGCGAAGGCGGCCUUCUGGACUGACACUGACGCUGAGGUGCGAAAGCGUGGGUAGCAAACAGGAUUAGAUACCCGAGUAGUC